rnacentral:rRNA from 1 species
AGAUUGAACGCUGGCGGCAGGCCUAACACAUGCAAGUCGAGCGGAUGACAGGAGCUUGCUCCUGAAUUCAGCGGCGGACGGGUGAGUAAUGCCUAGGAAUCUGCCUGGUAGUGGGGGACAACGUUUCGAAAGGAACGCUAAUACCGCAUACGUCCUACGGGAGAAAGCAGGGGACCUUCGGGCCUUGCGCUAUCAGAUGAGCCUAGGUCGGAUUAGCUAGUUGGUGAGGUAAUGGCUCACCAAGGCGACGAUCCGUAACUGGUCUGAGAGGAUGAUCAGUCACACUGGAACUGAGACACGGUCCAGACUCCUACGGGAGGCAGCAGUGGGGAAUAUUGGACAAUGGGCGAAAGCCUGAUCCAGCCAUGCCGCGUGUGUGAAGAAGGUCUUCGGAUUGUAAAGCACUUUAAGUUGGGAGGAAGGGCAGUAACUUAAUACGUUGCUGUUUUGACGUUACCGACAGAAUAAGCACCGGCUAACUCUGUGCCAGCAGCCGCGGUAAUACAGAGGGUGCAAGCGUUAAUCGGAAUUACUGGGCGUAAAGCGCGCGUAGGUGGUUUGUUAAGUUGGAUGUGAAAGCCCCGGGCUCAACCUGGGAACUGCAUUCAAAACUGACAAGCUAGAGUAUGGUAGAGGGGUGGUGGAAUUUCCUGUGUAGCGGUGAAAUGCGUAGAUAUAGGAAGGAACACCAGUGGCGAAGGCGACCACCUGGACUGAUACUGACACUGAGGUGCGAAAGCGUGGGGAGCAAACAGGAUUAGAUACCCU